GUUACUACUGAAUGUUGGCAUGAUCGUGUGUUUGAAAGGUCAAAACAAACUGGCAGCGCUGCUUUUUGUUAAAAGUUCACUUGGAGACAUCACAUGAGACUCUUUGAUCUUAUAGGUCAGGACAGUGGGUUUAGGGCUCCCAAGUCUACUCUGCAGUGACUGUGGUGUGAUUUCCUGCCCUCCUUUCUGCGCUGUAGAUGUGGUCUGCAUCGCUCAGCCAAUCUCAAGGGAGGGAGGACCUGUGCCUGCAGUUUCCCAAAUCAUCCACAUUGGGACUCAAAAGGAGAGAGUUUUGAGGCCCAGCAACUCUGAGGAAAUCCUGAAAAACACUGUGAUAAAAAGGUACAUCUUUCCUUAAAGCCCAAGUACUACAUCAGUAGAACUGAGCCCUGAAGCUAAAUAAAUGAAGGGCUUGAGAGUUGCUUUCACUGGUGAAGAUAAAAUUGAGAAAAUGCUGACUGUGAAGAGCCAAGAAAGAUGACAUGAUGGAGCUGUCGGGGAAGCACCAGACAUCCUUAACUCGGCUCACGCAUGGUCUUCUCCACCCCUCCCAGAGCUCCUCCUGUGUUGUGAGAAAUGGAGCACAGACACCACACUUGAGGAGGAAGGCCGGGAAGAGGACCCUCAAUACUAGAUGGACAGAAGGAAGAGGAGAUAAUAAAAACAAAGAUCUUCUGGCUCACACCUGUAAUCCCAGCACUUUGGGAGGCUGAGGCAGGUGGAUCACCUGAGGUCAGGAAUUCAAGACCAGCCUGGCCAACAAGGUAAAACCCCGACUCUCCUACA
rnacentral:lncRNA from 13 species